rnacentral:rRNA from 1 species
AGUGAACGCUGGCGGUAGGCCUAACACAUGCAAGUCGAACGGCAGCACAGUAAGAGCUUGCUCUUACGGGUGGCGAGUGGCGGACGGGUGAGGAAUACAUCGGAAUCUACUUUUUCGUGGGGGAUAACGUAGGGAAACUUACGCUAAUACCGCAUACGACCUACGGGUGAAAGCAGGGGAUCUUCGGACCUUGCGCGAUUGAAUGAGCCGAUGUCGGAUUAGCUAGUUGGCGGGGUAAAGGCCCACAAAGGCGACGAUCCGUAGCUGGUCUGAGAGAAUGAUCGGCCACACGGGAACUGAGACACGCACCAGACUCCUACGGGAGGCAGCAGUGGGGAAUAUUGGACAAUGGGCGCAAGCCUGAUCCAGCCAGACCGCGUGGGUGAAGAAGGCCUUCGGGUUGUAAAGCCCUUUUGUUGGGAAAGAAAAGCAGCAGGUUAAUACCCCGCUGUUCUGACGGUACCCAAAGAAUAAGCACCGGCUAACUUCGUG